UGGGGAAUAUUGCACAAUGGGCGCAAGCCUGAUGCAGCCAUGCCGCGUGUAUGAAGAAGGCCUUCGGGUUGUAAAGUACUUUCAGUGGGGAGGAAGGGAGUAAAGUUAAUACCUUUGCUCAUUGACGUUACCCGCAGAAGAAGCACCGGCUAACUCCGUGCCAGCAGCCGCGGUAAUACGGAGGGUGCAAGCGUUAAUCGGAAUUACUGGGCGUAAAGCGCACGCAGGCGGUUUGUUAAGUCAGAUGUGAAAUCCCCGGGUUCAACCUGGGAACUGCAUCUGAUACUGGCAAGCUUGAGUCUCGUAGAGGGGGGUAGAAUUCCAGGUGUAGCGGUGAAAUGCGUAGAGAUCUGGAGGAAUACCGGUGGCGAAGGCGGCCCCCUGGACGAAGACUGACGCUCAGGUGCGAAAGCGUGGGGAGCAAACAGG
rnacentral:rRNA from 1 species